rnacentral:rRNA from 1 species
UGGGGAAUCUUGCACAAUGGGGGCAACCCUGAUGCAGCGACGCCGCGUGAGCGAUGAAGCCCUUCGGGGCGUAAAGCUCUUUCGACCGGAACGAUAAUGACGGUACCGGGAGAAGAAGCUGCGGCUAACUACGUGCCAGCAGCCACGGUAAUACGUAGGCAGCAAGCGAUGUUCGGAGUUACUGGGCGUAAAGAGUGCGUAGGCGGUUUUCUAAGUUCGGUGUGAAAUCUCCCGGCUUAACUGGGAGGGUGCGCCGAAGGCUGGGAAGCUGGAGUGUGGGAAAGGCAGGCGGAAUUCCUGGUGCAGCGGUGAAAUGCGUAGAGAUCAGGAGGAACACUGGCGGUGUAGACGGCUUGCUAGACCAUAACUGACGCUGAGGCACGA